GACGAACGCUGGCGGCGUGCCUAAUACAUGCAAGUCGAGCGAGAGCGACCGGUGCUUGCCCUGGUCAAUCUAGUGGCGAACGGGCGAGUAACACGUGGGUAACCUGCCCAUCAGAGGGGGAUAACAUCCGGAAACGGAUGCUAAAACCGCAUAGGUCUUCGAGCCGCAUGGCUUGAAGAGGAAAAGAGGCGCAAGCUUCUGCUGAUGGAUGGACCCGCGGUGCAUUAGCUAGUUGGUGAGGUAACGGCUCACCAAGGCCGUGAUGCAUAGCCGACCUGAGAGGGUGAUCGGCCACAUUGGGACUGAGACACGGCCCAAACUCCUACGGGAGGCAGCAGUAGGGAAUCUUCCGCAAUGGACGCAAGUCUGACGGAGCAACGCCGCGUGAGUGAAGAAGGUUUUCGGAUCGUAAAACUCUGUUGUUAGAGAAGAACAAGUGCUAGAGUAACUGUUAGCGCCUUGACGGUAUCUAACCAGAAAGCCACGGCUAACUACGUG
rnacentral:rRNA from 1 species